AUGCUUAUCUACUCAAUAUCACAAAGUAGCAUCGCAUCCUUGUCCAAAGGAGCCUAAAGGGGUCCCAAAGCUUUCAAAGACAUCCACAGGCAGGAAGAAAGAAAAAGACAGUUCUUAUCAUAUGUUUUUUGCUCUCUCUUUUUUUAAAUCACAGAUUGAAAUAUUUUCUAGAAGCUCCUGACUUGCCCUCAGAUGUCACUGGACAGAAAAGGAUCUUAUAUAUACAUCUGAGUCCACACUGACAUUAUUUCCAUUGUGACUGGAUCAGAGAAGUUGUGAAGUUUAAGCAGUCAUCUAGGAACAAAAGGAUCCAAAGUUUGCUACACACUUAAGAACAGGGCACAAAGGAAUUAAGGCCCUGGGAGCAGUUCUUUAGAAAAAGGUGAUUCUCAUUGGCUGAACUCAACAGCAAACCAAAGGGCAUGCAAGUUUAUUGAUACAAUCAAUAAAGUUCAGGUGAAGGGCACAG